rnacentral:rRNA from 2 species
UGAGGAAUAUUGGACAAUGGAUGGAAAUCUGAUCCAGCCAUGCCGCGUGCAGGAAGACGGCCCUAUGGGUUGUAAACUGCUUUUAUAUGGGAGCAAUAAGGUUUACGCGUAGACCGAUGAGAGUACCAUAUGAAUAAGCAUCGGCUAACUCCGUGCCAGCAGCCGCGGUAAUACGGAGGAUGCGAGCGUUAUCCGGAUUUAUUGGGUUUAAAGGGUGCGUAGGCGGCCUUGUAAGUCAGCGGUGAAAUUUUGCAGCUUAACUGUAACAGUGCCGUUGAUACUGCGGGGCUAGGAUUUGGUUGCUGUGGGUGGAAUGUGUGGUGUAGCGGUGAAAUGCUUAGAUAUCACACAGAAUAUCGAUUGCGAAGGCAGCUCACAAAGCCAAGAUUGACGCUGAGGCACGAAAGUGUGGGGAUCAAACAGG